GUCAGGAUGGCCGAGCGGUCCAAGGCGCUGCGUUCAGGUCGCAGUCCGGUUCUCCGGCGUGGGUUCGAAUCCCACUUCUGACA
rnacentral:tRNA from 1 species